GCUCAGAUUGAACGCUGGCGGCAGGCCUAACACAUGCAAGUCGAGCGGCAGCACGGGAAGCUUGCUUCCUGGUGGCGAGCGGCGGACGGGUGAGUAAUGCAUAGAAAUCUGCCCGGUAGUGGGGGAUAACCUGGGGAAACCCAGGCUAAUACCGCAUACGUCCUACGGGAGAAAGCAGAGGAUCUUCGGACCUUGCGCUAUCGGAUGAGUCUAUGUCGGAUUAGCUUGUUGGUGAGGUAAUGACUCACCAAGGCGACGAUCCGUAGCUGGUCUGAGAGGAUAAUCAGCCACAUCGGGACUGAGACACGGCCCGAACUCCUACGGGAGGCAGCAGUA
rnacentral:rRNA from 1 species